GACGAACGCUGGCGGCGUGCUUAACACAUGCAAGUCGAACGGAAAGGCCCUGCUUUUGUGGGGUGCUCGAGUGGCGAACGGGUGAGUAACACGUGAGUAACCUGCCCUUGACUUUGGGAUAACUUCAGGAAACUGGGGCUAAUACCGGAUAGGAGCUCCUGCUGGAUGGUGGGGGUUGGAAAGUUUCGGCGGUUGGGGAUGGACUCGCGGCUUAUCAGCUUGUUGGUGGGGUAGUGGCUUACCAAGGCUUUGACGGGUAGCCGGCCUGGGAGGGUGACCGGCCACAUUGGGACUGAGAUACGGCCCAGACUCCUACGGGAGGCAGCAGUGGGGAAUAUUGCACAAUGGGCGGAAGCCUGAUGCAGCAACGCCGCGUGCGGGAUGACGGCCUUCGGGUUGUAAACCGCUUUCGCCUGUGACGAAGCGUGAGUGACGGUAAUGGGUAAAGAAGCACCGGCUAACUACGUG
rnacentral:rRNA from 1 species